CUGCGGGUGGCGGCGCUGGGUAGGGGCCGCCGCUGCUGCUGGGGCCGCCACUGCAGCGCCGACUUCCUCUUCCGGCCCCGCCCAGAGGACGCGGAAACCCCCGCGCGGGGCACGUGGAGUUCUGGUCCGCGCGCGCCGCCGGCCGGAUUGUGUCCCCGCACUCUCCCGUCCUGGCGAUGGCAGGCUCCCUUCUGUGGAUAAUAGGCUGGCUUCUCCAUCUCCUCUAGUGCAAGGCUGCUCUUUGGGUCUGGAGGGACUAACCUGAGUUGGAAGAUGGAUGUGGACUGGGCUAAGCUGAUGAUAAGAAGCACUUAAGAUUUCAUUCUCAAGUUGGAAAAUAAAACAAGACAAAUG